rnacentral:tRNA from 1 species
GGAGAGGUGGCAGAGUGGUUGAAUGCGCACGCCUGGAACGCGUGUAGGCGUUAAUAGCGUCUCGAGAGUUCGAAUCUCUCCCUCUCCGCCA